rnacentral:misc_RNA from 1 species
AUGUUUAUGCAACCUAUUGGUGAAAGAAAAGUACAUGUUCUAUCAAUAUAUAAAAUUCUCUCAAUAAUGAACUGUAAAUUUCUCAUUUUACAUGAGUAUUUAAUUCAAUGAUUCCACUGUUUUGGAUCAAAUAGAGUGAAUGUAAAAUUGCCAGCACCAGAAUAAAGUCACAAUUUUAUGUACUGGUACACUUUAGCUAACACCGACAUAUAAAUAUAAGCUGGAUUCUAAAAUUCCUGACGAAAGCUAAAUUGUCACAAUUUUACACAGAUAUUAAUUUUUUGUGCUUGAUAAUUGCAUUAAAGCAUUGAGAAGUACAUGCAAGUGUUCAUCAGUUUGAUUUUGUUUUGAUGUUAAAAUAUCUCUUUCUUAUUUUAGCAUGGUCAAAGAUGUAGAUUUAACUGUGUUUAAAUUCACCGAGUAUGGGAAGAACUUCCCCAAGAGCCAGAAACUGAGUCCUGAUAGCUAUCUACAGAUGGCGUUCCAGUUGGCCUAUUUCAGGUUGUAUUCCAAGCCAUGUGCUACCUAUGAGACGGCAUCGUUGCGACAGUUUCAGCUUGGUAGGACAGACACCAUUAGGUCAUGCUCCAUUGAAUCCUUAGAGUUCUCAAAAGGAAUGAUGGACGCUUCCCUGUCCAAGCAGAAGAAAGCGGAGCUCUUAAGGAAGGCAGUGACUGGGCAUAAAAACUACGUGGCAGAGGCAGUGAAAGGACAAGGGAUUGACAGGCAUUUGCUGGGACUCAAAUUGAUUGCCUUGGAGAACAAUAUGAAAGUGCCAGCCCUACACAUGGAUGUGGCCUAUUCCCUCAGCUCCCACCAUAAUGUUUCCACUAGUCAGGUACCAGCCAAGUAUGAGGCUUGUCUGGUGUUCGGCCCCACUGUUCCUGAUGGUUAUGGUGUGUGUUACAAUCCCCAAGAAAAACAAGUCAUCUUAGGCGUUUCUGCCUUCAACUGCUGCCCAGAAACUGAUUCUAAGAGAUUUAAAGACUCAAUCCAGCAGUCUUUAUUGGACAUGAAAUCUGUUUUAGAAGGAAGCAUUCAGUCAAAAUUAUAACAGUCUAUGUUGUUAACUUUUUGUAUGACAACACUAUGAAGUAUAUACAUAGACAUGCAUGCUCUCAGGUCAAAAAAUUGCAUGUUUUAGUUGUGAAUGCUGAUGUGUGAUGAAAAAAUUGAGUGAUGAUUCAAUGUUAUGAAUGUUUUAGAAUCAGUUAAAAAUGCUUGACCUGUAGACAUAUCAACUCUGGUGCUGCAUAUGGUGUUUUUCCCCUAGUAUUUAGAUUUACAAUUUGUAUCUUAAAGAUGUUAUAUGGCACCCUUUUUUACGAUAGUUUGCUUCUCAUAACAAUCAAUGAUUAAUUGUUUAGAAAAUUGGAUAAAUCCAUAUUAUGAACACGACUGUAGGUAUAUGUACACUUUGAAUGAGCUCCCCCUAGCCCAUUUAUCUUUGUGCUUCAAUAGACUUUUUAAAGCAUUAAAUAUCUCCACUGAUUAAUUAUUUUAAGACGUGAAGAUACAUGCAGCCUACUCUAAAAGUCCCCCUUUGUAAUAUCAGUACAGACAAAAGAAGCCAAUCUAGUUAAUGCUAAUUGGUUGGACAUAUGCAAGGCAUCAUAUUGUUGCUUUUUGUGUGCGUUUGUGUGUACAUUGGUAUUUUUAAAUGAUGAAACAUGUAUUGUUAGAAAUACAUGUAUAUAUUAAAACAACUCAAAGGGGCUAUUUGAAUGGCUUGAAAAAAAAAGGUUUGAUUCAAGGUGCCUACGUCACAUUUAAAAAGAUUAGCUUAAAAAAUGUAUCAAUAUUCUUGGAAUUUAAGAAUUUAAUAGCAACCCAUUUGGUUCUUGUAUUAACUGGGUUGGAACAGUUUAUGUUUUUUGAUAGACUGCGUAGAGUCAACUGCCCCCCAAAACCCUUUACAAAAUGUUCGAUAAAAGAUAGGUCAAUUGUUUGCAAUAUUUCUGUAGUAAGUGUGUGACAUACAUUAUUGAACUUGCAUGCACAUUUUUCAUGCAGAGGAAUGAUUGACCUAUAAUUAACUGACAAUAUGAUUGUGCAUUUUAUAUUACUUUACCUUCAAUGUUUUUCAAUGUAUCAUUCCGUAGCUGUGAUUACCUAAGUUAUGCAUUGGUUGUUUGCAAUAAACCAAUACAU